GGCUAACUACGUGCCAGCAGCCGCGGUAAUACGUAGGGUGCGAGCGUUAAUCGGAAUUACUGGGGCGUAAAGGGUGCGCAGGCGGUUCUGUAAGUCAGAUGUGAAUCCCGGCUUAACCUGGGAACUGCGUUUGAAACUACAGAGCUAGAGUGUGGCAGAGGGGGUGGAAUUCCAUGUGUAGCAGUGAAAUGCGUAGAGAUAUGGAAGAACAUCGAUGGCGAAGGCAGCCCCCUGGGUCAACACUGACGCUCAUGCACGAAAGCGUGGGGAGCAAACAGGAUUAGAUACCCUGGUAGUCCACGCCCUAAACUAUGUCAACUAGUUGUCGGGCCUUAUUAGGUUUGGUAACGUAGCUAACGCGUGAAGUUGACCGCCUGGGGAGUACGGUCGCAAGAUUAAAACUCAAAGGAAUUGACGGGGAC
rnacentral:rRNA from 1 species